CCUACGGGGGGCAGCAGUCGAGAAUCAUUCACAAUGGGGGAAACCCUGAUGGUGCGACGCCGCGUGGGGGAAUGAAGGUCUUCGGAUUGUAAACCCCUGUCAUGUGGGAGCAAAUUAAAAAGAUAGUACCACAAGAGGAAGAGACGGCUAACUCUGUGCCAGCAGCCGCGGUAAUACAGAGGUCUCAAGCGUUGUUCGGAAUCACUGGGCGUAAAGCGUGCGUAGGCUGUUUCGUGAGUCGUGGGUGAAAGGCGCGGGCUCAACCCGCGGACGGCAGAUGAUACUGCGAGACUAGAGUAAGGGAGGGGGAACCGGAAGUCUCGGUGUAGCAGUGAAAUGCGUAGAUAUCGGGAGGAACACUCGUGGCGAAGGCAGGUUCCUGGACAUUAACUGACGCUGAGGCACGAAGGCCAGGGGAGCGAAAGGGAUUAGAUACCCGAGUAGUC
rnacentral:rRNA from 1 species